AUUGAACGCUGGCGGCAUGCCUUACACAUGCAAGUCGAACGGUAACAGGUCUACGGAUGCUGACGAGUGGCGAACGGGUGAGUAAUACAUCGGAACGUGCCCGAGAGUGGGGGAUAACGAAGCGAAAGCUUUGCUAAUACCGCAUACGAUCUCAGGAUGAAAGCAGGGGACCGCAAGGCCUUGCGCUCACGGAGCGGCCGAUGGCAGAUGAGGUAGUUGGUGGGAUAAAAGCUUACCAAGCCGACGAUCUGUAGCUGGUCUGAGAGGACGACCAGCCACACUUGGACUGUGACACGGCCCAGACUCCGACGGGAGGCAGCAGUGGGGAAUUUUGGACAAUGGGCGCAAGCCUGAUCCGGCCAUGCCGCGUGCAGGAUGAAGGCCUUCGGGUUGUAAACUGCUUUUGUACGGAACGAAAAGACUCUGGUUAAUACCUGGGGGCGCAUGACGGUACCGUAAGAAUAAGCACCGGCUAACUACGUGCCAGCAGCCGCCGUAA
rnacentral:rRNA from 1 species